AACUUGUUAAUAACAUGUUUAUUAUUAAAAAUGUCUGAACAUAUGAACUCCGUAGUGAUUUCAGUGCAUUACUGAGAUAAGCU
rnacentral:snoRNA from 1 species